GUCCAGACUCCUACGGGAGGCAGCAGUGGGGGAUAUUGCACAAUGGGGGGAACCCUGAUGCAGCGACGCCGCGUGGGUGAAGGAGCGUUUCGGCGCGUAAAGCCCUAUCGGCAGGGAAGAAGGAGGACGGUACCUGACUAAGAAGCCCCGGCUAACUACGUGCCAGCAGCCGCGGUAAUACGUAGGGGGCAAGCGUUAUCCGGAUUUACUGGGUGUAAAGGGGGCGCAGACGGCAGCGCAAGCCAGAAGUGAAAGCCCGGGGCUCAACUCCGGGACUGCUUUUGAAACUGUUGAACUAGAUUGCAGGAGAGGUAAGUGGAAUUCCUAGUGUAGCGGUGAAAUGCGUAGAUAUUAGGAGGAACACCAGUGGCGAAGGCGGCUUACUGGACUGUAAAUGACGCUGAGGCUCGAAAGCGUGGGGAGCAAACAGGAUUAGAUACCCCAGUAAA
rnacentral:rRNA from 1 species